UAAUUUUUUUAUUAUACCUCAAAUGUGCAGUACUCACAAUACUGUUUGUUAAGCCAAAUAUAUUUAAAAUAUAUCUGAAUUUAUAUAUAUUUGGUUGCUUGCGAUCACAGCCUGGGGAAGCUAUGGUUAUGAGAAUAGCCUCUUUUUGCUGUAACUUACAUAAUUCAGUUAUUGUAUUUUAAAUAUAUAUUUGUAAGUCCUGCUUGUUGAUGGACCCCGUGCACCUGUAUUUCAUUUUUUUAUGGGUAACCAUGGCAUCUGCAGAAAGGCUCCCGUAAGCUUCUUUUUUUAGCAUCCUUACUUGUUAUUGACAAAAUAUAUAUUUAAUGGGUUCUGUUUCAUAAGCAUAUGUUCCUGCUGAGUUCUUUGAUGUAAUGUGAGCAGUAAUGUUAUUUGAAAAUGUUUUCCCCCUCGCAAUCUGGCUUUACGUACUCCAUAUUCUAUAAACUAUUACUCUCAUACAUAUUAAUUAGAGGAAACCAAAAGCAGCUCAAGGAGCAGUGUUGGCAGAAUCUAACAGUGGUUCUUCCUGCAUGUGGGGUUAAACAAGAUUCUUUGGGUGGUCACAGUUGUGAUUGAAGCCGUGCAUUUUGGGAAGGAUCAGAUCAUGUUUAAGUUCUGUUCUUUGCUCACCUGAACACCUGUUUCAGCCAGCAUGGCCUAUAUGAUCAUAUAUUAUCUCCUAUUCUCUGUGCUUUAAAUAAGUCCACUAUAUUCAUCCAGUCUCUUCUAGGCUCCCGAUGACUGUUAAGCAAAGUAUCGAUAACUAGAAAAAUAUCAUGAUGAUAUUUUGAUAUUUUAAUAUCAUGAUAUGAUAUUUUGCCCUUACUGCCCAACCCUCAGCAAAGGGCCAAACAAAUAAGCAAAUGUGGUGUUUUAAACACCCUUGGUAUAUCUUGCUAUUUGGGGGAUUCUAAAUUUGAUUUUUCUUUCCCUUUUUCUGCUGCUCUGUAAAGUGUCCUUGUGACAGUUCCGUAAAAAGCGCUAUACAAACAAAACUGAUCUGAUUUUAUUUGACAUCUGCCUGGGGUUCACACUUUAUCCCAGUAGCAUUAGUGCUGCCCUUUCCCAUUCCAGUGCUCCAGUUCCUUCUUGUUUCUUUCUAGUGUUAAUUACAGCAUCUAGCUAGACUUCUAAUUACCCAAGUGGGGUUUGAGGGAAUCUCUUUUGGGAGGAAUAUCAGUGUUGGGGGUCAAUUCUGUUAAAAUUCACUGAAUUCUAGAAAUUAACUGAAACUGAAUUCAAUUGAAUUGAAUGGAUUCUAUGAGGAUUUCUCAAUUUACUAAUUUCAUUUCAUUCCUGAAUUAAAAUGGAACUGUUCCUAAUUCUCUUAAAAUAGCAAUAAUGGCUUAUUUAUUUAUUUAUUUACGUAUGUAUUUAUGUAUGUUACCUGAUCAGCAUACUGUCUCCCACAGCAGAGAGACUUCGCACGAGGAAGCCAACAGAAAAAUGUAUAUCAUUGUGUUAAAUCGCGCUAAAAUGACAUUGCGGUUAUGUUGUGGAAUGGCUCCUGCGCGAGGACAUAAACCGGCGUCCCGCAGCUGGUCACUCAUUAAAUUCAAGGUGACGUGUUUGCAUCCACCUGGCUCGCGCCAGCGCCGAGGCGAUCGACUCUCCCUUGCCGCAGAUGGUAGCUUCCAAUCUGACUCGCUCCACAGCGCGCAGGGCUAAACCGAGGAUUGGAUGUCUCUCUCGUUCAGGCUACUCUUCUGUUUGCCUUUAAUCAAAAGAAAGGGUUUCAGAGACGAGUCGUAUUAAACGCUGUCUUUCUACAUUUGGCCGCGUUCAGCAGUGAGAGAAACGCCGUGUGGGACUGCUUUAGCGCUGCAUUUUCUCAUAUUUGAAAUUUAAAUCAUUUUCUCUCCCCUUUCCGUUUUCCUCUCUGCAUUUUUGUAAAAGCUAGUAGUUGAUACAAAGUAGAGGAACUAUUUUAUCUGUGGGAGAAAGAUAAACAACGAUAUAAAACAAACGAACUUGCGACCAGAGCUAGUGCUUCGUUCAAGUAAAAGUUUCCUUCGAGAGAGGAUAAUGCUGUAAAAGGACGCUUGUCUGAACAGACUUCAUUUCUUCUGUGUGUGUGUGAUUGUAUUGGCCGAGUGGAGCAGCCUGGAGCAGCUCUGAGCAGCCUGGAGCAGUGUGGAAAGGACAAGGGUGUCAGUUUUUAAAGGGAAGUGGCCCCAUCGUAGACUGACUCCACACAGCUGCCCAGACUUCUGAGUGUACCCCAUAAAGAAACAGCAGAUUGGCCGCCAGUGGUGUUCGGGGGAUUGUGUGGUCAGAAGAAACCCCUGCUCUUCUUGUAUCAACUUCCUCAAGAUGUGUUAAACACAUCUGCAGAGGCAAUUUUGAAGGAAAUUACCCAUAAUCAGGAGUUGGCAUAAGUGGUACACAAGUACGCAUUAACCGUAAAAAGAUUAAAAUGCAUGGAAAUUUUGCCAUAACGAUGCAAAUGCCUACCUAUUUUUAGGUACGCGUUC